CGGCGGACGGGUGAGUAAUGCCUAGGAAUCUGCCUGGUAGUGGGGGACAACGUUUCGAAAGGAACGCUAAUACCGCAUACGUCCUACGGAGAAAGCAGGGACCUUCGGGCCUUGCGCUAUCAGAUGAGGCUAGGUCGGAUUAGCUAGUUGGUGAGGUAAUGGCUCACCAAGGCGACGAUCCGUAACUGGUCUGAGAGGAUGAUCAGUCACACUGGAACUGAGACACGGUCCAGACUCCUACGGGAGGCAGCAGGC
rnacentral:rRNA from 1 species